UUCACAAAUGCUAUUUGGAUCUCUCAUUUAAAUGAACUCUCUAACUUUGAUCAGAACUGGAAAUCAAUUCGACCCUGUGCUGCAGUGCGCCACAGCCAAGAGGACACUCCAUGAGGUGCUGUGAGUCGGAUGUUUAGGAUUGGGAGACAAACUUGAGUGAAGAGGUGGAUUUGAUUUAAUAAAAAUGGACAGAGUGGUAUGACAAAGAACUAACCACCCUGUGGCUUUCAGGGUUGGCAGAAUGGAUUUGGGAUUAGAGGUGUCCCUGGGAAACUGGUAGGAAAAGAUGGAGAUGCCGCCCUGUGAUGCUCAGGAGCAGGAGACUCGCUCCCCAUGGCAUUCUUUGAGAGAUAAGGCAAACUUGUAUGAAGGUGGCACAUCUGGACCAACGUGAUGCUUGGAAUACAAGCCUUACCAGCAAAAUCUACCUCAAGUGCAUGAGAAGAGAAGCCUUUCUUUGGCAGACUGCCAGGGUGCAGGUCUCGAGGAUACAGCUUUUUGUCAAGCACCCUUUGGUUCUCAGCAGCCUCGAUUUCACUACGCUGCUCAAGGCCCACAGGUGGUCACCAUGCAGGCAGGGUGAAUUAAAAGAUGGCGUGGAAGUCUGGCAGGCAUCUUGACAGAACUACUCUUGAAGAUGGGACCUACACAAGGGAAAAGGGAGUUCAGAAGUAGAAUGAGUAAAGGAGAAUUAUAUUAGUUGAGUGUCUGAAUCCACUGGUGUCUGAAGCAUAUUCUUUAUUAGACCCUCUGCUUGGGUAGGUGUUUUUUCACUUGUAACUACAGUUCUUACAAAAAUAUGUGUCUAUAUGAUAGGAAUAGUUCAUCCCUCUCUCAACUGUAUGUGACAAUGAUCCAAAAAAGGAUGGCAGGUUAGAGUGUACUAGAGCAUUCCACAUGGAGACACAAAAGUAGAAAGCCAUACAUUGUGGAGACCUUGCUCUCUAUGAGGCAUUAACUGUGUGAGAAUGUGUAUUGACAUGGGCUUUAUCACAUCUUUUUGUUAUUAUUUUAUAUUUGUUUACUCUUAGGCUUCAUUAAAAUGAGAAUUCCCUAUCUCUUUAUUCUUAAGGUUCAAUAUUGUAUCUGGGACAAAUUAGAUACAAAAUAAAUGUUACAAC